rnacentral:rRNA from 1 species
CAGUCGCCGCGGUAGUACGAAGGGGGCUAGCGUUGCUCGGAAUGACUGGGCGUAAAGGGCGCGUAGGCGGCGAUCAAAGUCAGGCGUGAAAUUCCUGGGCUCAACCUGGGGGCUGCGUUUGAUACUUGAUUGCUAGAGUGGGGAAGAGGGUCGUGGAAUUCCCAGUGUAGAGGUGAAAUUCGUAGAUAUUGGGAAGAACACCGGUGGCGAAGGCGGCGACCUGGUCCUUGACUGACGCUGAGGCGCGAAAGCGUGGGGAGCAAACAGGAUUAGAUACCCCCGUAGUCCCUGUCUCUUAUAC